CGGCGGACGGGUGAGUAACGCGUGGGUAACCUGCCUCAUACAGGGGGAUAACAGUUGGAAACGGCUGCUAAUACCGCAUAAGCGCACAGUACCGCAUGGUACCGUGUGAAAAACUCCGGUGGUAUGAGAUGGACCCGCGUCUGAUUAGCUAGUUGGUGGGGUAACGGCCUACCAAGGCGACGAUCCGUAGCCGACCUGAGAGGGUGACCGGCCACAUUGGGACUGAGACACGGCCCAA
rnacentral:rRNA from 1 species